rnacentral:rRNA from 1 species
AGCUCGUGUCGUGAGAUGUUGGGUUAAGUCCCGCAACGAGCGCAACCCACGUCUUUAGUUGCCAGCAUUCAGUUGGGCACUCUAGAGAGACCGCCGGUGAUAAACCGGAGGAAGGUGUGGAUGACGUCAAGUCAUCAUGCCCCUUACAUCCUGGGCUACACACGUACUACAAUGCUACGGACAAAGGGCAGCAAACUCGCGAGAGCUAGCAAAUCCCAUAAACCGUGGCUCAGUUCAGAUCGUAGGCUGCAACUCGCCUACGUGAAGGAGGAAUCGCUAGUAAUCGCAGGUCAGCAUACUGCGGUGAAUACGUUCCCGGGCCUUGUACACACCGCCCGUCACACCAUGGAAGUUGGCCAUGCCCGAAGUCGUUACUCCAACCCGCAAGGGAGGAGGACGCCGAAGGUGGGGCUGAUGACUGGGGUGAAGUCGUAACAAGGUAGCCGUACCGGAAGGUGCGGCUGGAUCACCUCCUAAC